rnacentral:rRNA from 1 species
UACGGAGGGUGCAAGCGUUAAUCGGAAUCACUGGGCGUAAAGCGCACGCAGGCGGUUUGUUAAGUCAGAUGUGAAAGCCCCGGGCUCAACCUGGGAACUGCAUUUGAUACUGACAGACUAGAGUAUGAGAGAGAGAAGUGGAAUUCCACAUGUAGCGGUGAAAUGCGUAGAGAUGUGGAGGAACAUCAGUGGCGAAGGCGACUUCUUGGCUCAAUACUGACGCUCAGGUGCGAAAGCGUGGGGAGCAAACAGGAUUAGAUACCCGCGUA